UACAGAAGAUGGCAGUUUUGGAAGGCUUGUAAAUGACUCCACCCACGGCAUUUGAAAAGUACAGUGCUUUGAGGAGGAGGGUCUAUCAAGCUUAUAUUUUGUUUCCCUCCGUGAAAUUCUGCCACUGGUCAGAUGCUACAGUUGACUGUGCCAGCGUCAUCUCUCGUGCAGAGAAGAAGUUGUGUAUAAUUAUGGUGCAGAACCAUAUCCAUGGCGGAAAAAGGACAGGUUUGAUUUAUACACUGAUGUUGGAGCUUGGGAAAAGCCACUUGACUACAUUACCCAGCUCAGGCAGUCUGCAAUAUUCAAAGAAGUGAGGACUUUGAGUUCUUGAUGACUGCAGUGUCCAUGACUAAGAUGGUGAACUAGAUGGCCUAGAUCCAGAACUGACUACAUGGACCAAGGACGAGUUUGCCAUAUGCAGUCGCUGAUGUUGGAACUUGGGACAAGCAGUUUGAAUACAUUGCCCAGCACAGGCAGUCUGAAAUGCUGGAAUAAGACAUAUGGGGGUGCAAAACAGCAUGAAGCAAUCUACGUAUGAUUCGGCGUAAAGUCGCCAUGGUCAGCCCAGGCAGCCUUCCGGCACUUUGUCAGAGGCCAGAUCAUCAGAGAUGUGAUUGAGAGCCAUGAGGUAGCUGCUGUCAAAGAUUGGGCUCGGAUCUGACAAGCAGCCAAUAGUUUGCCUUUUAAAGAGUGCGGCAUAUCAUUCCCACAAGAUAAAUAAUGUUGGAUUAAUUGUGGCUUCAAGGCACAGAAGACAUCCCAGAUACAGAUGAUUCCUUGAGUUCCAACAUCACAUGAAAUUAUUUCAUUUUUGAUUGGUAAAUGUUUGGACACUAACAACUUUAUCAGGAUUUAAGAUCAAAUAAGCAAGCAUAGAUAUACACAUAUAUAUCCAGUUCAAACUGUGUUUGAUUUCAGUUAUUAGUGCUAUGUUCAUAUUGUAUAAACCAUUAACUUCAACAAUUACAGAAGACGUGCAUUGCCCCAUCUUCUUUGUCCAGCCACCUGGCCUGACUUGUAACAGGUAUCGGGAUUCCCUGCUGGAGUAGUUGUGUGCUAACUUCUCGGGUUCAACCACCAAUGAUGGAUUUCCCAAGGCUACAGCUACAUACUGAAGAUGAUAGUCAACAGUCAGCUUGUGAUGUAAGAAACGGGCAUUCAGCCGACGAAUAUAAACCAGCACAUCUUUACUGCUUGCUAGUUUUCAUGUGCAGUGCUCUUGAAAAGUGCAGGGAGUCGACCUUGCUGGAACAGGUGCUCACUCUUCAGUCUGCUAGACGGGUAGCGCCCAAGUCACUGCCAGCGCUCAUGAAAAGGCAAGACGCCCUAGAGAUGGGAACCACUGACUCACAUGAUCAGUUCCCCAUCUUGAGCAGCACUUAAGGCGACCACCUUAAAGCCUACUUUCUGGAAUACAUCAGUGUGCAGAGCUUAUACGUCAAGUUGAAGAAUUGCAAUUCAUCUCAUGGACAGUGAUAAAACAUUUAAACAAAACUGUAUAAUUAUGACUGAAAAAUCUAAACAAAAUAAAAUGUGUUGUUGCCUUAUGCCAGUGUGAUGGCACUAAAUUGCUUAUUUUCAAGGAUGAGGCUUUGUUGACUGCUUUAAUAAAUACAAAAUGUAAAAUUACCUGCUCAACUAUGAAAUUAUGUGAAUCAAAUAUUGUGUACAACUACUGCUGGCCUCAUUAAAGAAACACAAUUGAAGCUUCAUUACUAAAUGUGUGCGCAAAAAUUAUGUCCCGAUUCUAAUCAGUGACUCCUUUGUGUAGCUUAUGUUUAACGACUGUUCAGUUUAGCUGCUGUUUUCACCAAGUAAGUUAGUUAGCAAAUACAGUCUACUUUUCUAAUCAGUUUGCUAUAUGUAGUAUAAAGUGACUGUUUAAAAUGAAUCAGAUAUCUUAGAUUAACAUUGUCUAAUCUUUUUUUAAACUUAAAAUCUCUUGUCGUAAGGUAUAACUUCCUGGACUAGUUUUCACAAUUGCAUAUGUAUUGCGCAAAAUUUUUGUUCAUUCGAAUUCAAGUGAUUUAACAGUCAAUAAAUUAAUAUUUAA